rnacentral:rRNA from 1 species
UACGAAGGGGGCUAGCGUUGCUCGGAAUCACUGGGCGUAAAGGGUGCGUAGGCGGGGCUUUAAGUCAGGGGUGAAAUCCUGGAGCUCAACUCCAGAACUGCCUUUGAUACUGAGGAUCUUGAGUUCGGGAGAGGUGAGUGGAACUGCGAGUGUAGAGGUGAAAUUCGUAGAUAUUCGCAAGAACACCAGUGGCGAAGGCGGCUGACUGGUCCGGUUCUGACGCUGAGGCGCGAAAGCGUGGGGAGCAAACAGG